GUUCCAGGUCGCCGUUGCCCAAGCUGAUUAGGUAGAAGAGCACGCCGAAGAAGAACCACGUGAAGAUGAAGGUGGAGGCGAAGAGGGUGAUCUUGUAGCGCCACUUGAUGUCCACCACAGUGGUCCAGAUGUCAUGCAGCGUCACUCACCUUCUGAACGGGCCUCCUCCUCUGUGCCGUUGACUUUUGUGCAACGACGCUCCGUUUGUCCGCAUCUCCACUCGGCAUCGUCGUCCUCGAACAGGGAUCUCCCUUUCUCCUCCUCUUGUCCCGCCUCGCCAGGGUGUACCCCGCCUCCUGCCUGUUGACAGCUGGGAUAGGCUCCGGCACUCCCCGCGGCACUCGUGAGGAUAAGCAGCAAAGAAAAUGGAAGGAUGGAUAUACAAAUCGAAGAGAUUCAUGCCUAUUAGCGGCGGUGGGCUGACGGUUUACCUGAGGGGUGAGGGUGACCUCAAGCGGGGCGUCGGGUACCACGAUAAAAAGUCGCACCAGCUGAGCGAAGUGGGGCUUGACUCCUCGUCCCUGCGAGGG